GACGGAAGGUGCAAGCGUUGCUCGGAAUCACUGGGCGUAAAGGGUGCGUAGGCGGCUUUCUAAGUCAGGGGUGAAAUCCUGGAGCUCAACUCCAGAACUGCCUUUGAUACUGGAGAGCUUGAGUCCGGAAGAGGUGAGUGGAACUCCGAGUGUAGAGGUGAAAUUCGUAGAUAUUCGGAAGAACACCAGUGGCGAAGGCGGCUCACUGGUCCGGUACUGACGCUGAUGUGCGAAAGCGUGGGGAGCAAACAGG
rnacentral:rRNA from 1 species